rnacentral:tRNA from 1 species
GACUUUGUGGUAUAACGGUCAACACGCUCGAACCCUAUUCGAGAGGUUCGUGGUUCGAAUCCCGGCGAGGGCG